rnacentral:piRNA from 1 species
UUGUACCUGAUACAAAUUACUAAUGGCUG